UUCCAGACUCCUACGGGAGGCAGCAGUGGGGGAUAUUGGACAAUGGGGGGAACCCUGAUCCAGCGACGCCGCGUGAGUGAAGAAGUAUUUCGGUAUGUAAAGCUCUGUCAGCAGGGAAGAAAGAAAUGACGGUACCUGACCAAGAAGCCCCGGCUAACUACGUGCCAGCAGCCGCGGUAAUACGUAGGGGGCAAGCGUUAUCCGGAUUUACUGGGUGUAAAGAGAGCGUAGACGGCGACGCAAGUCUGAAGUGAAAUGCCAGUGCUCAACACUGGAACUGCUUUGGAAACUGUGUAGCUAGAGUGCAGGAGAGGUAAGUGGAAUUCCUAGUGUAGCGGUGAAAUGCGUAGAUAUUAGGAGAAACACCAGUGGCGAAGGCGGCUUACUGGACUGUAACUGACGUUGAGGCUCGAAGGCGUGGGGAGCAAACAGGAUUAGAUACCCGAGUA
rnacentral:rRNA from 1 species